UUUAAUCCACAUUAAUCCUCAAUUAAUCUCCACUAAUUAUCAAUCAAUUAUCAACUAAUUUCAUUAACAAUUAAAAAACCAAAAUGAAAGAGGCUUAGGGUUAGAAAUGUGACCAACAGAAUUCACGAUCUCCUUCUUCAGCGUGAACGGUGAUGAACUCCUUCCUUCUCAUCUCAUGACCACCGACGUUCUCCUCCCCGCAACGGCAAACGACUUUCAUCACCUCCAUUUCGUUCUUCGGCCAUCGCCGUUGUGCGGAUGCUGUGUUGCGCAUGUACUUUGAAAUUUGUUGAUGUGAUUUUGAAUCCAUAGAAAGAUUGAAGGAUUAUUGAUGGAGGAUUAAAGAUUCAGUGAUGGUGAUGCUAUGACGACGCGAAGUGAAGUUCGAAGUAUGUUGUUGAAUUUGCAGGUCGAUGAAGUUCAAGGAGAGGUUGAAGAUCGAAGAGGAUUCGAUGAUGAUAACCGAAUCAGGAGAGAAAGAGAGUUGCUAUGGUGAUUGGAGCGUCAACGUGAGGUGAAUUCGAUGGUGAAAAGUAGUGUGUUUCAAGAUGAAUAUUCGAGAGAGAAUUGAAGAGGAUGAAUCGAUAAUUCAAGAUGAAGAUUGAAGAGGUUUUUCUGUUAGGUCGUGAUGAUUAAAGUGAAUUGAAGUGUAAAGGAGGAACUCGAUUCAGAUGUUGAAGAUGAUGAAUCGCUGAUGAUUUUGAAGGUUAGAAGAGGAUGAGCUGUCAUGGAAUCUGUGUUGUGAAGGUUGAAGAAGAUUUUUGUAUCCGUUUCUGCAAGUAAUGGAGGUUUGUUACAUUCGGUUAGAGGUAUUUUUUGUUUAUUUACAGAUUGAAAAACGUUUGAAGAUUGGAGAGGGAGGAGUAUGAAGUUCGGUGGUGAAGGUGAGGUUCUGUGAUGAAGGUUCAAUCGAGAGAGAAGAGUCUCCCUGAAGUUUGUUAUGAUUUUCGGUUCUCAAUUUUUCUCCCAUUUUCUGUUAGAAACUUUCUGUUAUCUGAAUCUCCCCCCUUCAAUUUCCUUUUUUUGUCCAACCGAUUUAUUUAUUUUCUGUGUUAUAUUCUGGAACUGGUUGUUAUCAAAGAGUGCAGGGGCUGCGUUUUUCCGGUUCGAUUUGAAUUGUCCGCUGGAUCUUUUUUUCCUUCGCUGAAAAGGUGCUCUUUUGGUUUAAAUGCCGGUACCGACUCGGUUCUCAUGGAGUCAAAUGUUGCGGUUUACCGGGUUGCGGUUUGUUUUGAAUAUUAAUGAGCUUGAACCGGUUUUAUGUGCAGGGAGAUGUAUUGGAAAUUGGCAAAGCAUUGGAAUUAAAAAUGGAGCUUAGAAUUUUCAUGUAACUUUUCUUUGUAGUAAUGUAAUUUUGGAAAUAGUUUUGAAUUUUGUAAUGGACAUUUGAAUGAGAAUAUGGAUAUUUGGAUUUUGAAA